GUUGGGUAGGGGAGCGUUCUGUAAGCCUGUGAAGGUGGCCUGUGAGGGUUGCUGGAGGUAUCAGAAGUGCGAAUGCUGACAUAAGUAACGAUAAAGCGGGUGAAAAGCCCGCUCGCCGGAAGACCAAGGGUUCCUGUCCAACGUUAAUCGGGGCAGGGUGAGUCGACCCCUAAGGCGAGGCCGAAAGGCGUAGUCGAUGGGAAACGGGUUAAUAUUCCCGUACUUGGUGUUACUGCGAAGGGGGGACGGAGAAGGCUAUGUUGGCCGGGCGACGGUUGUCCCGGUUUAAGCGUGUAGGUGUGUGUUCCAGGUAAAUCCGGUUCACUUUAACACUGAGGCGUGAYGACGAGGCACUACGGUGCUGAAGCAACAAAUGCCCUGCUUCCAGGAAAAGCCUCUAAGCAUCAGGUAACAUCAAAUCGUACCCCAAACCGACACAGGUGGUCAGGUAGAGAAUACCAAGGCGCUUGAGAGAACUCGGGUGAAGGAACUAGGCAAAAUGGUGCCGUAACUUCGGGAGAAGGCACGCUGACAYGUAGGUGAAGUGAUUUACUCAYGGAGCUGAAGUCAGUCGAAGAUACCAGCUGGCUGCAACUGUUUAUUAAAAACACAGCACUGUGCAAACACGAAAGUGGACGUAUACGGUGUGACGCCUGCCCGGUGCCGGAAGGUUAAUUGAUGGGGUCAGCGCAAGCGAAGCUCCUGAUCGAAGCCCCGGUAAACGGCGGCCGUAACUAUAACGGUCCUAAGGUAGCGAAAUUCCUUGUCGGGUAAGUUCCGACCUGCACGAAUGGCGUAAUGAUGGCCAGGCUGUCUCCACCCGAGACUCAGUGAAAUUGAACUCGCUGUGAAGAUGCAGUGUACCCGCGGCAAGACGGAAAGACCCCGUGAACCUUUACUAUAGCUUGACACUGAACAUUGAGCCUUGAUGUGUAGGAUAGGUGGGAGGCUUUGAAGUGUGGACGCCAGUCUGCAUGGAGCCGACCUUGAAAUACCACCCUUUAAUGUUUGAUGUUCUAACGUGGACCCGUAAUCCGGGUUGCGGACAGUGUCUGGUGGGUAGUUUGACUGGGGCGGUCUCCUCCUAAAGAGUAACGGAGGAGCACGAAGGUUGGCUAAUCCUGGUCGGACAUCAGGAGGUUAGUGCAAUGGCAUAAGCCAGCUUGACUGCGAGCGUGACGGCGCGAGCAGGUGCGAAAGCAGGUCAUAGUGAUCCGGUGGUUCUGAAUGGAAGGGCCAUCGCUCAACGGAUAAAAGGUACUCCGGGGAUAACAGGCUGAUACCGCCCAAGAGUUCAUAUCGACGGCGGUGUUUGGCACCUCGAUGUCGGCUCAUCACAUCCUGGGGCUGAAGUAGGUCCCAAGGGUAUGGCUGUUCGCCAUUUAAAGUGGUACGCGAGCUGGGUUUAGAACGUCGUGAGACAGUUCGGUCCCUAUCUGCCGUGGGCGCUGGAGAACUGAGGGGGGCUGCUCCUAGUACGAGAGGACCGGAGUGGACGCAUCACUGGUGUUCGGGUUGUCAUGCCAAUGGCACUGCCCGGUAGCUAAAUGCGGAAGAGAUAAGUGCUGAAAGCAUCUAAGCACGAAACUUGCCCCGAGAUGAGUUCUCCCUGAGACUUAGAGUCUCCUGAAGGAACGUUGAAGACGACGACGUUGAUAGGCCGGGUGUGUAAGCGCAGCGAUGCGUUGAGCUAACCGGUACUAAUGAACCGUGAGGCUUAACCUU
rnacentral:rRNA from 1 species